AAAAAGAAAAUAGACCUCACUGUCUUGUGUUAGCUGUUUAAAGGGCAAGGAACAGAGACUAUUUUAUCUUGCUGCAUGGGCAGACUUUAACACUACAGCUGAAAGCACUUUUCUAUCCCUUUUACUCAGCAGAGAUUAUGUAGAGCUGUGGACAGCUGUUUAAUAUUACAUAGACCACAGCCAUGCAAAGCAGCAGCUAGAGCCCAAAACAGGUUUAGGAUUUUCUUUAUGUAAUGAUAGCCCCAUGUAAUGAUGUGCUAGAAUCAGAGACUUCUUGGGGCUCUGUAUCUGUUGGGUCUAAGCUCACAUCUUCCUGGAGAUGCUAGAGCUGUGACUCCAGAGUCAAAAUGGGAAGCCUGGCAUUUCUGGUUGCUCUGUGAUAGAGGAAGGAGGAACAGAAUUAAAGGGAGACAGAAUAUGGAAAUAACAAGCUGGGAUGAGAAGUAUCUGGAGAAAGGGUGAAUUUUCCUUCUCUUGCCUGGGCUCUGACUGCACUUUAGAAGCCACGCGGAUGCUCACAAGUUCGUGAUGUCACUGAAGUGAGCUCUUUUCCACUGGGAAGAAGAAAUUUCACUGCAAUUCAGACAUGUUCCUAACAUAGCGAUCUACAGCAAAUUCAGAGGUGCCAAGCCCUGCCAGCCCAAGAUUUCAACCAUAUUUACAGUUGUACUACAUCAGGAGGAUUUGAGGAUUUGGCCACAAGAAAAAACACCUCUGUAGUCAAGAGGAGUUCCAACCCACAACUGGUGGGUGCUCAUCUGAAGGAGCAGCUAACCAGAAUUAGACCCACACAGCAUCUCCACUGCAUCUCACCAACAAGCUGGUUUGGCUGGAUGGCUGCUGAGCGGUGCUGGUAUCCACCUGGCUGAAGAACUUGCAUGGCAGACAGGCAGACUUGCAUGAGCUGUAAUUUGAAGUAGAUAAUUUUGUGUUGCAAAAUAGGUGAGAAUGGUACAAGUUCUGCUGGGCUCAGCCCUAUGGCAUGGCAGUAUAUGUUUCUGUAUAUUCCUGUAAAAGGGCUUGAAGGAAAUUCUCUGCCCUUUAAUGAUGAAUGAAAUAUUUCCUUCUUCCAA